rnacentral:rRNA from 1 species
AAAUUGAAGAGUUUGAUCAUGGCUCAGAUUGAACGCUGGCGGCAGGCUUAACACAUGCAAGUCGAACGGUAGCAGGAAGGAAGCUUGCUUUCUUUGCUGACGAGUGGCGGACGGGUGAG